GCUGGACAGUGUAAGAACUGUUUUCCUCUGAAACAAAGGAGCUCAGUGAACAGGAAGUGUUUGUUUGACUCUUUCAUCAUAUUGAUGGAAGCUAAUAUUAGUUUGGGUUCUGUGAUGACAGAUGAACUAAUGAUCUGAUCAGAGAGUGCAGGUUAUUUCAGUAACCAUCAGUGUGUUGCUGCUGUUUACCACUGUAGCUCAGCUUCUAUUGAUGGGACACAGUCCAGAAGGUCUUUAGACAACUUCUCCCUGCAGAGUCAGCCUCUCUCAGUCAUUGUACCAGUAUGGAUUGGUUCUUCCACCUGCUCAGAGCAGUUUACAUACCGUAACCAUGGCAACAGACCUUGGGUAAAACCUAUCCACCUUUCGUAGUACAGGUUAAUCAGGAAGUUACACCUGACGUCACUAAGUUACUCCUGAAGUUACCCUGAUAAGCAAGUAACCUCGCUUUAUAGUACAGGCCUCUGAUGACUAUGAAACAAAAAAUAAAGAAAAACUAGUCUGCCCCAGGGGCAUUACCCAUCUCUAUUUGCCCUUUAUGACUCACUUGCCAGGGCGGACUGGACAGAAAAACCCCAAAACAAAAAAACAAAACCCUCAACCAAACAAAAAUAGUCCACGGCAGGAGCAGCUAUCGGAGCACAGCUGCUUUGCAAGAACACAAAUAUAAAAAAUUUUAAAAGACUUUUAUUAAUCAAACUUUAAAAUACACAAUGAUGAAAUAUUCAAACUAAACUUAAAACACAUGGUACAAUGAAGUUUUGCAUUUUCCACCCUGCAGGGGAAACAAGUCUGCCCAUUGUUCCUGCAUGCCAGCAUGGAAUGAGGUGUGCACCUGCAUACAGCCAGUUUACUGAGGAAAUAGCAGAAAAGAAAAUGGUGCCAACACAGAGAGAUGACAGUAAACAAGUCUCAGGGUGUGGUUAUCCACACAGCACAUUACUCCACAUUUGAAAUUCAAAAUAGUCUGUAAAUACAAUAAUAAAAGAAAUAGUUUAGUACUAGUCACUGAAAAACAAAUACGAGGAGUUGAAACUAAAAAUAAAAAUAUCAAUAAAUAACAUAAAACAAUAACAAUACUAGUUUUUAAAAAAAGUAGGAGAUACCUAUCAUUGAGAUAUUUCAAGGUACAACUACCUGGAUGUAGUCGUACUGGCCAACAUUGUACAGAGGUAAAGUUUCCAUGUUUUCAGUAAAAGGCUGCCAGAUCCUUCAGAAGUACAUCAUGUCUGUUUUUCAGGACCUACAUGAUUUUCUCAGAGGGCGUACAGUUGAAGUCAUGUCUGACAUCUAUUUUCAUAGAGGGAGUGGGGAGGGUCUGACUUCCAAGUUAAUGCAGCACAUUCUCUGCAAAUAGCAUGAUCCAAAUGGACCAGCAGGUCCAUCAUUUUAGUCAGCAUGUCACAAAGUCCCUCCAAAAUGUAGUGAGUUCAGCACAUUACCACUGUGCUUGAUAGUCACUGUUUUAAAAUCUGACUUCAACAGUUUGCCAUCCAGUGAAAUCCCCUGAAUCCAACAACUGUUUCACUUUUGUUUCAUGUGAAUCACUUGAGAGUGGUUACAAAACCUGUUUUGUUGCUUGUGGUUGUUCGGUGUAUGUUGGCACACAGUCAGCGUCCUGAGGCAACAGCAGAAAACAAAAUGGUGCCAACACAGACAAACAAAACUAAACGACAAUCUCAGGGUGAGCAAGGGCGGAUACAUAGCAGACAUUCAAACUGACUCUGCAGCUCUGAGAUCAACUGCACAGAUCCACAUUUGAAAUUCAAAACAGUGAAUAUCAGUGAGUUUUAAAGGAGGAAGCAGGUUUUAUUCUGCUGUCAGCUCACACACUGACAUGAUUCUCUGAUCACAGUCAAACCUGCUUUUUGUCUUAAUACUGUGUUUAACUGUUCAGCUGAUCUGCUGUAUCAGAAUAUUCUGAUCAAACUGUUUCAGUGAAACUUCAUCUUUGUUGGCAGAGAGUUGGGUUCUGUGUGUUGUAGAUGUUUAGGACCAUCAUAGGAAACAAACACAUUAUAUUCUGUAAAUACUGAACUGCUCAGCUAUUACUACUACUCAACUGAAUCCAAACUCUCCCCUUUGAUGUGUUUUGAACAUUUUAAAGUUUCUGUUGUAUUUGGUACAAAAUGGCUCCAACAGGAGCAGCUGCACUUGAAUGAGACAUUUAUAUUGAAGAGAUGAUUCAAGCUGCUGUGGAAAUGUGGUAGAUUAGUCUUUAAUAAUCCAUGUGGUCAUGUGACCCACAGACACAAAGCACAGAGUGAGAUCCAUGAUGUGAGUGAACAGAGCAGCUGCUGAUCUCAGAGGCUGUAGAGUUGUUGAGCAGAGUGAUAACAGAGACACAGAUCCAUGUGAACUGUGACUUUAGAGACACAAAGACAGUUAGAGGAGUUAACAUUUGUCAACAUGGUGCAGCUUCAUUUCAUCUGUUUCUCUGCACAUGAACAGAGAGAUGGAGCCUCAGCUCAGAUCAGACAACAUUUAAUUUUACUAAAUGCAAAAUAUGUCAUAUCCUGUUCAGAUGCUUCAGGGAACAGACUCACCUGUCAAGUUAGCUGCUGAACUCUGAACAUGAAAACACAGUAGGUUCAUAGUUAAUGUGAACACAGGAUAUAAAACAGAAGUACUGUAAUACUAAUGCUGACUAAUGUCACAACAAAGAGCACAGUCUGCAUAAUGUAUAAAAGCAAACACAGUUUAUACCUGUACUGUUUCCUCCAUGUUAUGAUAGUGACUGUGGACUGUAGGAACCUCACUGACACCACUGUAGAAGACGUAUCAAAUGGCUGACAUAUGGAUAUGAGAGGGAAUCUGUUCUGGUUACAUGAGCAUGCAGUUUGGCUGAUUCUGCAGAAAGUUUGAAGUGAAUAACUUUUGUGUUUUUUCUGUUUCAGGCCUGUUUUAGAAGAUGAUGUUUGUCACCACAGUGAAGCUGAGGAAACAGUUCAGUGAUAGAAACAUCAUCUGAGACAGAGUCCUGGAUCAGUUCCUGCUGAGGAAACAGAAAACCAGAAGCUGUGAGACUUGAAUGAUGGUUUUAUAUGAGAGGAACAAACUGGGACUUGUGGGGAACAUGAGUCCAUGUGUCGUAACAAGUUCGUCUUCCAAGGCUGUGAUAUGGCACACUGAUGUUAACAGAAAACAUCACAUCCAACUCAGCUAAAAGACACCAGGACAUUAAACCAGUCAGCAGCUUCACUGAUGAAUCAGAUGUUUUUCAGCCUCCUGUAACAGACCUCACAUCAUCUCAACCUCUGCUGAUGUUUUCCAGCUGUUUCCUUGUUUCUCUGCUGUUGGUGUUAGAUUCCAGCGUUUGGGAGGUCACACCCAGGAUGCUGUGACAAAAAAAAAAACCUCAACAAAAUAACGUAACCUCCCAUCAAUAGUUUGUGGAUUAGUGGUUGAUAAACUGUCUCACUGCUUUGUCCUUCAAUACAAAGCAGACAAAGAAAAGGUUGCAGUUGUCCUCUCUCAGCUAAUUAUGGAAAGAGGAUCACCUGACUGUGAGGAAGUGAGAGCGACAGAACAAUCCAACAUUUUUGACCUUAAAAUUAAAGUAUUACUUUAAUACUAUAUAAUAUUAUAUUUAAUAUUACAAUAACUAAUCAUUAUCAUUACUUGACUUUAUACCACAUACCACAUUUUACAAAAAUAAUUAAAUAAUAUCAAUUGGCUCCAACAAUGUUAGAGAGCUGUUAAAUGACAGUGGAGUGGAGACUCUUCUCAGGAGAUGAUCUUUGUCUGUUGGUGGUGUCAGCUGUGUUUGUGAUUUUGACGAACAGAAUGUAUUGUCAUUACCUAUGUAGAGUGAAGACACUACAUGGGACUUUUUUGACAUGUGAGUCGUCAUCAUGAAUGAUGUGAGCCACACCCACAAAACCAAAAAAUGUCAGAUCCAUGAAGUGAGUAAACAGCAGCUGCUGAUCUCAGAGGCUGUAGAGUUGGUGAAUAACAGAGAAGAGUCAGAGAGCAGCAGCCUGUUGUCCCAUCAGUCCCAGUCUCUACCUCUAACAUGUGGUUAAAUUCCCAGAGGAAGUGAUAGAAACACUGAGCAGCUUUUCUAUCAGCUUUUACUGAGCUUUGAUUCUCAGCUCCAUCUGUUUGAAAUGCAUCAC